UACGGGGGGAGCAAGCGUUGUUCGGAUUUACUGGGCGUAAAGGGCGCGUAGGCGGUCAGCACAAGUCAGUUGUGAAAUCUCCGGGCUUAACUCGGAAAGGUCAACUGAUACCGUGCGACUAGAGUGCAGAAGGGGCAACUGGAAUUCUCGGUGUAGCGGUGAAAUGCGUAGAUAUCGAGAGGAACACCUGCGGCGAAGGCGGGUUGCUGGGCUGACACUGACGCUGAUGCGCGAAAGCCAGGGGAGCGAACGGG
rnacentral:rRNA from 1 species